UGGGGAAUCUUCCGCAAUGGACGAAAGUCUGACGGAGCAACGCCGCGUGAGUGAAGAAGGUUUUCGGAUCGUAAAACUCUGUCUUUUGGGGCGAACGUGAGUAUGGUGAACAAUCAUAGUCAGUGACGGUACCAAAGGAGGAAGCCACGGCUAACUACGUGCCAGCAGCCGCGGUAAUACGUAGGUGGCAAGCGUUGUCCGGAAUUAUUGGGCGUAAAGAGCGCGUAGGCGGGAUAGUCAGUCCGUUGUAAAAGUGCGGGGCUCAACCCCGUGAUCGCAAUGGAAACAGCUAUUCUUGAGUGCAGGAGAGGAAAGUGGAAUUCCCAGUGUAGCGGUGAAAUGCGUAGAUAUUGGGAGGAACACCAGUGGCGAAGGCGACUUUCUGGACUGUGUCUGACGCUGAGGCGCGAAAGCCAGGGGAGCGAACGGGAUUAGAUACCCCGGUAGUUCUGGCCGUAAACGAUGGGUACUAGGUGUGGGAGGUAUCGACCCCUUCCGUGCCGGAGUUAACGCAAUAAGUACCCCGCCUGGGGAGUACGGUCGCAAGACUGAAACUCAAAUGAAUUGACGGGGUCAUAGCUG
rnacentral:rRNA from 1 species